rnacentral:lncRNA from 1 species
CUAUGGCGAUUGGGAAAGGCUGAAGCUCUGAUUGAAACCCCAAAGGUGCAAAAUCUUUACCUAAUUCCAUAAAUGGAUAAGUGGCAGCAUUUUAUUCAAGGUCGCAACUACCGUCAUUUGAUGUUAGAAGUUGGAUGCAACAAAUAGCCAAUGGCGGUACGUUCAAUUCUAAUUAGUUGAUAAUUUUACUUUCAUGGUACUAGGGGGUUAACUAUAAUAAUUUUUGAUCUGAGAAAUCCAAUCUCUCUCGAUUCUAGGUUGCAACUUAGGCACUCAAUAUUCAAUUUUUGCGGAUAUUUAUCAAUUGGAAAAUAUAGCUUGGCAUGCAUGGUGCAUAGGAGAUUUGACUUCUUGCAAUAUUUUACAGCAUGAGCACCCAGGAGUGACUUGCAAGUUAUACUAGGGGUCGGAGGAGAAACCCAACGUUAAUUUUUAUCCUGAUUCUGCACCAUCACGUGAAAGCCGAAGUCAGAAGGGAACAUCAACUCGCGCUAUGUCCCAAGAUGAGCAAGCUGGCCAACAAGGAGACGCCAUACCUGCACAAAUUGAUCUUAAGGCAUAUUAGGAUGAUGUGAUUAUACUUUCUAUGCUUCUUAACAUUCAUUUUGUUUGACUAUUCUAGGAUUUUGAUUCUAAAUAUUUGAUGUAUGAUUUGUUGCAAGCUUAGCUGGGAAAAUACUUUCGAGAAUUUUGCCUACGCUUUUCUUGAAAAUUGUACACGAGGAAAUUUCGUAUCCAAGGUGAGAAAACAUAAGUUCUUAAUCUUGUUGAUGGAUCAAUAUUUGCAAGUUAUUAUUAAUAAAGACUAGUUGUUGAAUGAUAGUGGGGUAUUAGUAGACAAUGGGCCAGCUAGGUAGACCAACUUCAAGUAUAAUUUCAUGUCCUCUUGAGCUACUAGGUUCCAAAAUUUAGGAAUGAGGAUUAUCAAUGUUUGCAGGCCAAGUUCAAAUUGUAAGAAAUGUCUGCCAUUCUACCCUUUUCGCAUAAAGGUUGUGUGGAAUUACUUAACCUUUUUAAUGAAGAAUGCACUAGCAUCUUGCACCCCAAAAUGAGAUUCUGUCAAGAACUGACUAAAGAAUGUAGUGCAUUGGCUUCAUCAAUUGUGCAAGGGCACUGCAUUACACUUAACCUAAUGGACAUUAUAACAGAACAUACCUUUUCUCCAUGCAAUAUUCAUAGUUUGACAAGCUCUUUGCACCUUGAUUAAUGUGCUUCACAUGACACAUUUUGUUGCUAAUUGGUGAUUACUUAGCAAACCUCUUUUUAAACAAUUUGCUGCUAAUUCGUAUACUUGUUCAUUUAUCAUACUUUUUCAAAUAUUGUAGAGUUUUAAUUAGUUCUUGGCUUUCCUUUUUUUCCUUUGAUGAGUACUGUUUGUACAAGUAAAAGAAGAUUGGAAGAGCUUUAGGUUCAAUGCAAUAACAGUCUGUGUGCAGAUUGUAGUGCUCCAGAUCCAAAAUUGGCCUAAGUUCCCUCUAGUUUCUUCUGAUUUUUUUCUCUCUUUACUUCUUGCUAGAUUAUUCAUAAAAAAGUCAAGAGACAGCGAGGGAAAAGUAGUAGUUGUUGCUUGCUUACCUUAAAAGGCUAUUCAAGCUCAUUAUUAUCUGCGUGUCAAUAUUAAAAAGAACACAUGUAAAUUAAUGUACUCUGUAUCUGUGUUUCCUUUGUUUUUACUUGUUAAUUUUUUAUUUUUUAUUUUUUGUACCACGUUCAGAUUUGCAAAUAUUGGAGUAUUUAUUUGCUUAAAGUGCUGUGUUGUGCACAGAAACCUUGGUACACAUAUUUCAAAGGCGCCUUCCUCAUUUCAUUUUUGUAUUCUACCGUCUCCUAUUUCUCACACUCAUACAUUUUAUAAUCUUUUAUUCUUUACAUUUCCACCAUAAAAUUUUGUAUCGUAUAGAUUUGGUCCGUCACAUUGGAUGAAUGGUCUAAUGAUAAAAUUGAUGCACUGAUUGAGGUUGGAGGAAAUGCUUUUGCUAAUUUAAUUUACACGGCAUAUCUUCCUGAAGGAAUCUCAAAACCUUGAGAAGAUCCUAGCCAAAAAGAGCGUAAAAAAUUUAUCAGGUGACUAAUCACAAAAACAAUAUCAAUUAUAAGCUUUCAUAGGACAUUGUUGAUCUUUCUGUGGUGAAGAUGUGGUUAUUUCUUUAGUUACUUAUAUGAGACUUUUUGUUAAUUCACCUGCCAUGUCUCACCAGUCACCAGGUAAUAUUUAAUUAAGAUUUGCUGUGUCACUCCGACCAGGCAUUUUCUUCUUUCUUUAAUGUCUAUCAUGUCGACUUUCUGUUCAGUCAAAUCCUAAGUUCAACUCUUGAAUCUGUAUAUUCUAUGAAAGGUCUCCAUUAUGAGGCUACUGAAUUCUUGAGUUGUUUGCAUGGACGAGUGCAAGUUUUGUAGGACUAAAUCUUCAGUGGGACGGGCGCACCAUACUGAGGUGCCACCUCGGUGGGUGGUCCACACACCUCGGGGGUGUGUGGUGGGUUACCAGCUGAAGUGACAUACCAUGUAUCAUGGCAGUCACACUGCCAUGUGGUGCGACCGCCCAACUGAAGUUUCUCUCGUUUUGUAGGAUGGUAAACUGGAUUGCAAAAGAAGAAGUCCAAUUCCUUAUAAACCCACAAACUACACCUCCGAUUUGUUUUGUUUUAUUUUAUUUUAUAUGUAAAUUUCACGCCAAAAAAUAAUAUCAAUUUCAUUUUUCUUCAAGCUUGCUAUAGCUAAAGUUCACAAGUAAAUAAUGACCUAUAUAUGUUAGUCUCCUUUUAUCUUCCAUUUACUGUAGUUUUUUUAUUUUCAUGUUCAAUUUCUUGAAUAUUAUUUCAUAGGAAUGAUCUGUAAAGGAAUUACUGAAUUGUUGGAUUUGUCAAAGUUCAAAUGAAACCAAAG